rnacentral:lncRNA from 1 species
GGUGCAGAUCCACCCCUGAAGUAGAGGGUGCAAUUAAACCCAAACGUUAACGGACACUUAACGGCAUUAGGUCAGAGGGGGGAAUUUGCACCCUUUUCUCGGAGUUCAGGGGUUUAGUUGCACACACAGUUAGUAAGAGAGGUUAUACGCUAUAGGGGUUACUACUUCGUGGGCCAAUCUGCACCUUUUUCCUUCUUUAAAUAUAUAAACAUCCAUUUCCAAUUGAUUAGCAGCAACCAGAAAAUUAGUGGUAGCACCCAAUUAUUGAACAAUGAUAUAAAUAUAUCAUUCAAUCAUUGGUAAUGACGAAGAUCAUUGUACACAAAUCAAAAUAAACAUAGCUGAUGGUUUUGUACAAUUAUUACAAGCAGCAGAGCUCCAUUGCCACCUUUCAAACCUAUACAUGCCUUGAAAUUUACAAACUAAACUGCACCCUCAAUUAAAAAAAAAAACGAAAACAAGAAGCAAAGCAGUAAC